rnacentral:rRNA from 1 species
GUAUGCGAUCAUACCAGCACUAAAGCACCGGAUCCCAUCAGAACUUCGAAGUUAAGCGUGCUUGGGCGAGAGUAGUACUAGGAUGGGUGACCUCCUGGGAAGUCCUCGUGUUGCAUUCC